CAUGCAUCUGCAUGCGGAUGCCGCUGAACCGAGACUACACAUCUCUCUCGAUCUCCCAUGAUUUUUCUGCUAUCGCGCUCAUCCGGGUGUUAGGCACCCUCAGUCUGUCCAGAACUUUCAUCGUGGAAGGAUGUGUUGGAGUGAUGUGUGAUUUCUUGUGCCCUGUAGUUUGCUCGUUUACGUUUUGUACCGUGUUACUUCUUCUUCAAUUAUGGAAUGAUUUAUCCUUGUAAAUUUCUAAGUUACAUAAUCGACGGUUACCUGUUGUCCUUGCCAACAUCCUGCAAAACGAUUGACGGAAGGAAAACGUUGUCUGGUUUUAAAAUAUCAAGAUUUCAACACAGCUCUUUCGUAGGAGAGCGCACUUCAAGGACGCCAAGGAUAUGGCUGAACAUGCGCAGCACCAGUCGAUGACGUCAUUUCCAGACAGGCGCCGGCUGAACACGCACAGCACCAGUCGAGGAUGUCCUAGCGAGAAGGGCAGAAGGAGGAACGAGAGGAAGGAUAACGGAACCGCUACAAUAGUAGGGGGUGAAGCAUCCGGCCGUGUACAGAGUGUGAGUGUGCCAAAACGCAUGUGGAAAGAGGAAGUCCAAUAAAUAGCAUGCGAAAGUGUGCAUAAAGCAAAAAGAAAAAGCGUCACUACUACAACCAGCAAUCCGAAAAUA